rnacentral:rRNA from 1 species
GAUGAACGCUGGCGGCGUGCCUAAUACAUGCAAGUCGAGCGAACAGAUGAGGAGCUUGCUCCUCUGACGUUAGCGGCGGACGGGUGAGUAACACGUGGAUAACCUACCUAUAAGACUGGGAUAACUUCGGGAAACCGGAGCUAAUACCGGAUCAUAUAUUGAACCGCAUGGUUCAAUAGUGAAAGACGGCUUUGCUGUCACUUAUAGAUGGAUCCGCGCCGCAUUAGCUAGUUGGUAAGGUAACGGCUUACCAAGGCAACGAUGCGUAGCCGACCUGAGAGGGUGAUCGGCCACACUGGAACUGAGACACGGUCCAGACUCCUACGGGAGGCAGCAGUAGGGAAUCUUCCGCAAUGGGCGAAAGCUUGACGGAGCAACGCCGCGUGAGUGAUGAAGGUCUUCGGAUCGUAAAACUCUGUUAUUAGGGAAGAACAAAUGUGUAAGUAACUAUGCACGUCUUGACGGUACCUAAUCAGAAAGCCACGGCUAACUACGUG